GGGGUUGUGGCUCAGCGGUAGAGCGCUUGCCUCGCUCAUGCGAGAACCUGGGUUCGAUCCUCAGCACUACA
rnacentral:tRNA from 1 species